UACGGGAGGCAGCAGUAGGGAGUUUUCGGCAAUGGGCGAAAGCCUGACCGAGCAACGCCGCGUGAGUGAUGAAGGUCUUCGGAUUGUAAAGCUCUUUCGGGAGGGACGAAACCUGUGAUCAGGAAAUGGGUCGCAGCUGACGGUACCUCGAAAAGAAGUGACGGCUAACUACGUGCCAGCAGCCGCGGUAAU
rnacentral:rRNA from 1 species